GAAAAUCUAAGGCAGCAAAAAUGAAAAAACAUGCAGGAAAAAUGAAUGAAUUUUAAUAAGACAGGAGUGAAACACUUGUGCGUGGGGUGGGUUUUGUUUUUAAGUUCACCCAAAUGGGUGUCGUGGCUCAAGUUUUGGUUUUUUUGGCCUGAAAUUCCCUGGUUCUGGUUUUGGAAUAUGUGUUGUGUGAUAUAUAUCUAGAGAGAGACCUUUCCUCUACCAAGUCAAGCAAUAUGAGGGAGUUAUUUCACACGUGGAACUAGGAAGGAAAGAUCCUCCAGUGUCCAGAAAACCCUCACCACGUAUCUCCAGUCUUAUCAGACUUCUUCAGUGCAAAGUGGACUGUAAUAGCUCCUGAUGGUCAUUAGUGUGCAGUGAUACUUCAAGGACUCCAAAUCUGUAAAUGUUGGUUGCAGUCUCAGUUUGGGCUGUACUUUUGUACCUGCUUGUGAUUCCUGAGGAGCAUGGAAGAGAACAAGAUACUGGCUGAAUCAACUUCUAGGACAGAGAUGAGCCUAAAUACUUUAUUCAGGAACUUUAAAGCCUUGGAGGAGAACUGGACAGGCAGAAGUGAAAGAUCAGAUCUAUUGUCCUGUUUCUGCUGGCUGUUUUGAAGAGUCUUGACUUUGAAGCUGGAAAGAAAUCAUUAUCUAAGUCGCACUCAUUUAAACUUAAGGCCAGUGGUCUCAUAACUGAUCACUCACAUUAGCCUUAUGAACCUUCUCCAUGG